GACGAACGCUGGCGGCGUGCCUAAUACAUGCAAGUAGAACGCUGAAGGAGGAGCUUGCUUCUCUGGAUGAGUUGCGAACGGGUGAGUAACGCGUAGGUAACCUGCCUGGUAGCGGGGGAUAACUAUUGGAAACGAUAGCUAAUACCGCAUAAUAUUGACUAUUGCAUGAUAGUCAGUCGAAAGGUGCAACUGCACCACUACCAGAUGGACCUGCGUUGUAUUAGCUAGUUGGUGGGGUAACGGCUCACCAAGGCGACGAUACAUAGCCGACCUGAGAGGGUGAUCGGCCACACUGGGACUGAGACACGGCCCAGACUCCUACGGGAGGCAGCAGUAGGGAAUCUUCGGCAAUGGACGGAAGUCUGACCGAGCAACGCCGCGUGAGUGAAGAAGGUUUUCGGAUCGUAAAGCUCUGUUGUAAGAGAAGAACGAGUGUGAGAGUGGAAAGCUCACACUGUGACGGUAUCUUACCAGAAAGGGACGGCUAACUACGUG
rnacentral:rRNA from 1 species